UAACCACAAAGUCCACACAGUGAGACACACACGUAUCCUCUGUACAGUCUCAGUGUUCAGCUUCAUCAUGGCCGGACGUCUGCUGUUUGUCUUCUUCAUGUAUGUCUUUAAUGGGAUUCAAACAGAAGCUCGUCUUCCACCUAAACUUACAGUGAAUCCAGCAGUGAUCACAGAGACAGACUCAGUCACACUGAACUGUCAGACUCCAUCAUCUGUGUCUGUGUCUCAGUGUUAUUACCAAACUUUAAGUGGAGGAACUGUGAAGAUAUUAUCCUGUCUGCAGACACUGACAGGAAGUGAGCUGCUGAAGAUGGAUCAUCAGAGUUCACCUGCUGAGGUCAAAGUGAAAUGUUUUUACACUGUUCAGAUUGGAGGCAGAAAUGCUCCAUCUCCACACAGUGACACAGUCUCCAUCAGCAUACAAACUCUUCCUCAACCUGACCUGAUGGUGAAUCCAGCGGUGAUCACAGAGACAGACUCAGUCACACUGAACUGUCAGACUCCAUCAUCAGUGUCUGUGUCUCAGUGUUAUUACCAAACUUUAAGUGGAGGAACUGUGAAGAUAUUUUCCUGUCUGCAGACACUGACAGGAAGUGAGCUGCUGAAGAUGGAUCAUCAGAGUUCAUCUGCUGAGGUCAAAGUGAAAUGUUUUUACACUGUUCAGAAUGGAGACAUAAAUCUUCAAUCUCCACACAGUGACACAGUCUCCAUCAGCAUACAAACUCUUCCUCAACCUGACCUGAUGGUGAAUCCAGCGGUGAUCACAGAGACAGACUCAGUCACACUGAACUGUCAGACUCCAUCAUCAGUGUCUGUGUCUCAGUGUUAUUACCAAACUUUAAGUGGAGGAACUGUGAAGAUAUUAUCCUGUCUGCAGACACUGACAGGAAGUGAGCUGCUGAAGAUGGAUCAUCAGAGUUCACCUGCUGAGGUCAAAGUGAAAUGUUUUUACACUGUUCAGAAUGGAGACAUAAAUCUUCAAUCUCCAGAAAGUGAAUAUUCCUCCGUCUCUGUUCAAAGUGAGACAAACUCAAACAAGGAGAGUGCCAGCACUUUGACAACCUCAGUUUCUAUUGUAACUUCACCUGCUGAUCAAGGUCCGACUGUAAGUCUUCCGGAUACUAAAGAAUUGUGGAACUGGACAUUUGUCUGGGUUUUCGCUGGCUGUGGAUCUACUGUGAUCAUCACAGUGAUUGUUAAUGUUAUUCUCUGGAAGAAAUGAAGAGCUGGUAUUGUAGAGAAAGAGUCCAGAAGGAACCAGAGAAUGCCAUCACUCAUCAAAACCACAGCGGUCUUUGUACCAUAUUUACUCUAUCAUCUAUGAGGGUCAGACUGCAGCAGCCAGCAAAGACAUGAUCUACAGCAAGCUGCAGGCACCCUGACAUGCUAACAGUUUAAAAGUGUGUUCAAGAAGAGAAGAAGUUGACUGAUGUGAUGUAGAACCAGGGGUACCCAUCACGGACCAGACAGCAGCUGUCAUAUUUCUGACGGACCGGUGGGGUAGGGGCGGAUUGUACACCAUCCUCUACUAAUGUCACAUUGAGAUAUAUGAAGUACAGUAAAAGCAUAAUGCAACCCAAACGACUGUAGAAAACUCUCAAAAAAUCUAAACUUAACUCGCCAUCAGUGUGAGCCAGUUUUCUGGAGACAAGAUGGUCGAAGCAUGGCGUUUUGUCUGCGAGUGAAAGGCGCUGCGGGUUUCUAACAUCCACUCUGCUGCCUUUUUUCAGGAGCCCAAGUAAAAAAAUGCGCUCUCCUCACUAGCAUGCGCAGCUUUGACCCACACAUGACCUUAUCAGUAAAAUAUUUGUAUUUUCAUAUUUAAACUUUUACUGAAUCAAAUUGAUAAAAA